UACGAAGGGGGCUAGCGUUGCUCGGAAUUACUGGGCGUAAAGGGCGCGUAGGCGGGCCAUCAAGUCAGGGGUGAAAUCCUCCGGCUCAACCGGAGAACAGCUUCUGAUACUGGUGGUCUCGAGGGGGUAGGGGCAUGUGGAACUUCCGGUGGAGCGGUGAAAUGCGUAGAUAUCGGAAGGAACGCCGGUGGCGAAGGCGGCCAACUGGACCAGCACUGACGCUGAGGCGCGAAAGCGUGGGGAGCAAACAGG
rnacentral:rRNA from 1 species